rnacentral:rRNA from 1 species
CACGUAGGGCGCAAGCGUUGUCCGGAAUUAUUGGGCGUAAAGGGCUCGUAGGCGGUUUGUCGCGUCGGGAGUGAAAACUCAGGGCUCAACCCUGAGCGUGCUUCCGAUACGGGCAGACUAGAGGUAUGCAGGGGAGAACGGAAUUCCUGGUGUAGCGGUGGAAUGCGCAGAUAUCAGGAGGAACACCGGUGGCGAAGGCGGUUCUCUGGGCCGAUACUGACGCUGAGGAGCGAAAGCGUGGGGAGCGAACAGG